rnacentral:rRNA from 1 species
UGGGGAAUUUUGGACAAUGGGGGCAACCCUGAUCCAGCAAUGCCGCGUGUGUGAAGAAGGCCUUCGGGUUGUAAAGCACUUUUGUCCGGAAAGAAAACGCCGUGGUUAAUACCCGUGGCGGAUGACGGUACCGGAAGAAUAAGCACCGGCUAACUACGUGCCAGCAGCCGCGGUAAUACGUAGGGUGCAAGCGUUAAUCGGAAUUACUGGGCGUAAAGCGUGCGCAGGCGGUCCGCUAAGACAGAUGUGAAAUCCCCGGGCUUAACCUGGGAACUGCAUUUGUGGCUGGCGGGCUAGAGUAUGGCAGAGGGGGGUAGAAUUCCACGUGUAGCAGUGAAAUGCGUAGAGAUGUGGAGGAAUACCGAUGGCGAAGGCAGCCCCCUGGGCCAAUACUGACGCUCAUGCACGAAAGCGUGGGGAGCAAACAGGAUUAGAUACCCUGGUAGUCCACGCCCUAAACGAUGUCAACUA